rnacentral:lncRNA from 1 species
GUUUGCUUAAUUAUUUGAUCGUUGUGGCGUUGAAAGGUCUAAGUGGUUCUCGAUUAUCUUACGGUUCAUCCGGGAGACCCUUGACAAAGGCACUCAUUGAAAAAGAAGCAUCAUUUACGGAGAAGGCCAAGUUCCACUCUCUUGUUUUUGCCAUAAGUGUUGAAGCCCGUCUUCAUAGUUUGUUGUGCGGGAAGUCCUUGUGGUGAGCUUCGAGAGCUUCGUUUAGUCUCGAGACAAGAUUUGUUUGGUCUUUGCAAUGUUUUUUCGAAAACUCCCUUCCUCGUUGUAGGUUAUGGGUCGAGCAUUGUGUCUCUUUGAAGUUUAAUCUCUUCUUUACUCAGGUGUAUUGUAACAUUUCCGAAUCAAUAUCAAUAUAAUUCAGUGAAAAAA